CCCCUGUCUGGUGGGGUGGGAGACCGGUGGCUGCUCCCGCCGAGCUGAGAGCCACGUAGGGCACCCCUAUGUGCUCGCUACGCAUCUGGGAUGGCACCCCUGCCCUGAGGGCCCCGCAGAGUCCCACCCUUCCUGCAACCAGCCCCCCCAGAGCCAUUAAACCACCCACAAAUCCUGCCCCAACACCCCCACAGGCCCCAAAACGCCUCCGAGCCCUGCCGCAAUGUUGUCACUGACUCCAGACCUUCCCCUGCACUCUGUGCAAGGCCCCAAACAUUCCUCAAACUGCUGCCAGACCCAGUGCCCGCAGCAGUGAGGCGUUCUAACAAAGAUGGGGUGCGAUGUGCGUCUCCGCCUCGACUCAGUCCCGCUUUAGAGAAACAGGAAGUUACAGCACUUCCUGGUGAAGAGUGUUGACGGGUGAAUGUGCGGAUGACAAAGAGACUUCUCUCUCUUUUCUUCUGAGCCGCCUCUCAGAAGCCUCUGUGUGUGCACGAUGUGGCUGAUCUGGGAUAAUCGUGCUGUGCGCAGUGCUUAAGGAGAACAUUGCCCUAAAAUGGAGGGCUAAGGAAUAGCCUAAGAAACCUAAAAGGCUCGGGAAGAGCCAAAGAGAACACCGAUGGGCUCUGGGAAGCCCCAGUGAUGCUAGCGAAAACAGCGUGGCUUUUAGGCACCUCCUCAGAGCAGCAGCAAUGUCUCGCUCCAGCCUAUGGGACAAUGGGGACUCUUAAUUACCGCCUUGAAUUACCACAAGUGUUGCAAAAGCAGAAGGGACUAGGGAGCAUGCAGAGCAGGUUAUGGACUAUAUGUCAAGUUUAAACAAGCAACAAGCCCCUCUGCAAACAGAAACAGGUUUAGCCCUAAGUAAUAGACGAAGGUAGCUGUGAGUAACGUGAAGCGAAGCGGUGACGUCAGUCACCCCGAAAGCCUCGGAGAAGCGGUCUGAAAAUCUGGUACCCUCGCGACCUCGGCAGUCUUUUUGGUUUGUUUGGCAGGGUAGCCCACCGAAGGGGGACAUCUCGAAGAGAAGCAGCAAGACCUGGGGAUCCGGUGGUUCAUUUUGGUCGUCGCCUGUGAGGCCAGCAUGCAAGAGUAAGAGGAAGCUAGGAGCAGUCUCAAAAAGAUAUGGAACCGAGGACAGCAAAUGCUGACGAAGAGAAGAGACGGACGAGCGUUUGCUUGCGGUUAAUACCGAAGGGACGGGAUGAAACAAGGAAGCCAGAAUGCAGCGGCCCCUCGAUAUCACCAGGAACUGCUACAGGAGGAGGCGUUCUGGCACGGGUAACUAGGGUAAGUAUCGCUAAUGACCGUUAGCAGUUAUUUCGGCCUCCCCGAGGCAGCGCUGAGGACUGAGUAACCCGUUCCUACCCUGUGGCUGCUGUUGCCUGUAUCUGCCUUAGCUUUGCUUUGGCUGUUUCUGUUUUGUUUUGUUAUCGUACGCACAGCUACGGAAAGGAAUAGAUGUCAUACUUACUUUUUUAGAUUAAUUGCCACGGCUGAAGUUGAAGAGACCAAGAAACGUAAGCCCCGAAGGGGCACAUCUUGAAGAGAGGGGGCUAGACCUAGCGAUCCAGUUGUUCGUUUUGGUCGUCGCCUGUGAGGCCAGCAUGCAAGAGUAAGAGGAAGCUAGGAGCAGUCUCAAAAAGGUAAUAGGUCUGAAAGGGAGACAGGCAAAUCGAGGGCUGUCAUUCCUCCACGUAGUUAAAGACCGAGAGAGUUGUCGGUUAAGCGCAUGCAUACGAGGGUUUGCGAACAGUACCAAUAACACUGAAGCGGAAUAAAAAUAAGGUUUCGUGGAAGAUGGCGUUAGGAAGGUAUUAGGCGACGUGCCCGCCUGCCUAAUAACCUAGCCCUAAUUGCUGUGUGUAACGUUUCCAGACCGUUUACCCUGCAACGUAUGGUGCAAAGUGCCGUAUUAAGACCUUUCCCUUAAGGAAAAGAAGAAGGAAAAAAGGGGGAAAAAGAAAACAGGGUAAAGAGAAAAAGAUCAUGCAUAAACCUAAGCGUUUCACUGGAAGUAAAACGCGAGUUUAUCGCUUCCUUACAGAGAUGGAACCAAGGACAGCAAAUGCUGACGAGGAGAAGAGACGGACGAGCGUUUGCUUGCGGUUAAUACCGAAGGGACGGGAUGAAACAAGGAAGCCAGAAUGCAGCGGCCCCUCGAUAUCACCAGGAACUGCUACAGGAGGAGGCGUUCUGGCACGGGUAACUAGGAUUAAUUGCCACGGCUGAAGUUGAAGAGACCAAGAAACGUAAGCCCCGAAGGGGCACAUCUUGAAGAGAGGGGGCUAGACCUAGCGAUCCAGUUGUUCGUUUUGGUCGUCGCCUGUGAGGCCAGCAUGCAAGAGUAAGAGGAAGCUAGGAGCAGUCUCAAAAAGGUAAUAGGUUUGAAAGGGAGACAGGCAAAUCGAGGGCUGUCAUUCCUCCACGUAGUUAAAGACCGAGAGAGUUGUCGGUUAAGCGCAUGCAUACGAGGGUUUGCGAACAGUACCAAUAACACUGAAGCGGAAUAAAAAUAAGGUUUCGUGGAAGAUGGCGUUAGGAAGGUAUUAGGCGACGUGCCCGCCUGCCUAAUAACCUAGCCCUAAUUGCUGUGUGUAACGUUUCCAGACCGUUUACCCUGCAACGUAUGGUGCAAAGUGCCGUAUUAAGACCUUUCCCUUAAGGAAAAGAAGAAGGAAAAAAGAAAAAAAAGGGGGAAAAAGAAAACAGGGUAAAGAGAAAAAGAUCAUGCAUAAACCUAAGCGUUUCACUGGAAGUAAAACGCGAGUUUAUCGCUUCCUUACAGAGAUGGAACCAAGGACAGCAAAUGCUGACGAGGAGAAGAGACGGACGAGCGUUUGCUUGCGGUUAAUACCGAAGGGACGGGAUGAAACAAGGAAGCCAGAAUGCAGCGGCCCCUCGAUAUCACCAGGAACUGCUACAGGAGGAGGCGUUCUGGCACGGGUAACUAGGGUAAGUAUCGCUAAUGACCGUUAGCAGUUAUUUCGGCCUCCCCGAGGCAGCGCUGAGGACUAAGUAACCUGAGGGGCUCUGGCCUGGGUUAGGGCAGAAGUGCAGGCAGGCGGGAUCAGGCAUUUUCCUCUCAGCUCUCCAAGCUGAAUCCUAGCCCUGAAGGAAAAAGCACUGGGGGGAGGCUACUCGGACACCUGCCACGUCGAGGGCAGGGGCAGGAGCUGACCCUUCCCCGACGGACGGACGGACAGACAGACGCUGGUGCGGCGGUGACUCUUUGGAUAUCGUAGGUAAGGGGAGGCACGCUGGUGCCGAGCUCCAGGGCGGUUUGCCUGAACACGAUGCCCGGGGCAGGAGGUUACGCAUUGUGUCCGGGGCUGGGAGCUGGUCCCCGAGUCCCAUGUACUUGGGAGUGCCUGCGCUUGCCAGGGAGCCCGGUGCUGUUCCCAGAGCUGCGGGGAAUUUCCCUUGCGUUGCCUGGACCCUCGGGGCUCUUGGGGGUGUUUCCCCUCAUCGCAAGGGCAGCCAGAGCCCCUCCAGGGCUGCGUGAGGUCCCCGAACCGCUCCCGGAUUUGCUUUUGGCACUCCGCAGUGUCGCUCGUGUGCCUGGGGCAGCCUGCAGGCGCCAUCCUGUCAGCCGCGUUGAGCCCUGCGGCGUGCCUGGUGACCCCUCUGGUGUGCGCCAAGGCCCUUCCUCUGUAUUUUGGUCUGCCCCAGAGCCCUGCACUUGCCCUCUGAUGCCCUCAGGACCCCUCAGUUCACAUUCUGGGUUGCCCCCGAGCCCUCUGCGUGCCUUUCGGUGCGCCCCGUGGCCCCGUGUGUGUUUUGCGGCAUGCCGCAGAGGUCUCUGUUUAGCUUUUUCUCCUGUCCUGGAGUUUUCUGGGUGCUUCUGGGUGUGCCCCAGGGCCCUCCUUUUGGUGCCCCCAGAGUCACUCUGUUUGCUCUAUCGUUCUUUUUUUUUUUUUUUUUUUUUUUUUUUUUUUUUUUUUUUUUUCUUGACUUGUGUUGCACCCAGAGCUCUCGAUUUGUUCUCUUGUGCUCCGCAUACUCCCCUUUCCGCACUCUACACCCCAGGCAGGGCUCUCCCUUCAGCUCUCAGCAAGCUGCUGUCAGGAGAGUGGGGGUGCCUCUGCUGCCCUGGCAGCCCCAGCUGUCCCUGAAGGGGCUGAUGGCCAGGCCCCCUGCCCAGUUCCUGCAGGCCCACAGCUGCGGGCCCUGGGGCUGGGAUGAAUGCCAGGGGGAGCUGGGUGGCAGGACAGGCCCCAGGUGGGGCUGAUGGCAAGGGCAGGCCCACAUUUGGGGGCUGGGGCCGCAGUUGGGGGGAGCUGGCGCUGGGGCAGGAGCUGGGCAGCGGAGCUGCCGCGGAGCACGGCCCUUCGGGACCAGCCCGGCGGCCGCCCCGCGGAGGAGGUGAGCGGGGCCGGGGGAGGCGCACUGCAGGCUGCGGGUCCCGCAUGUGCCGGGGGUCCCGGCGGCUGGGAGCGUCCCGGGGCCACGGAGGCGGGGGGAGGAAGGGGGUGCGCCGGGGCUGCGGUGCGGUUUACUGCGCGGUCGGAGGAGCG